UACGAAGGGGGCUAGCGUUGCUCGGAAUCACUGGGCGUAAAAGCGCACGUAGGCGGAUCUUUAAGUCAGGGGUGAAAUCCUGGAGCUCAACUCCAGAACUGCCUUUGAUACUGGGGAUCUCGAGUCCGGAAGAGGUGAGUGGGAACUCCGAGUGUAGAGGUGAAAUUCGUAGAUAUUCGGAAGAAACACCAGUGGCGAAGGCGGCUCACUGGUCCGGUACUGACGCUGAGACGCGAAAGCGUGGGUAGCAAACAGG
rnacentral:rRNA from 1 species